rnacentral:rRNA from 1 species
CGGGUGAGUAAUAUAUCGGAACGUACCCUGGAGUGGGGGAUAACGUAGCGAAAGUUACGCUAAUACCGCAUACGAUCUAAGGAUGAAAGCAGGGGACCGCAAGGCCUUGUGCUCCUGGAGCGGCCGAUAUCUGAUUAGCUAGUUGGUGGGGUAAAGGCCUACCAAGGCAUCGAUCAGUAGCUGGUCUGAGAGGACGACCAGCCACACUGGAACUGAGACACGGUCCAG